UUGGAUAGAAACGUGGAUGGUCCCCAGAGCCCGUUUGGAAAAAAAUCCUUGCCCUCAAAUAAAAUUAAAAUCCGGUCUUGCAGCUCAUAGACAAACAUCGCACCAAGAAGUUAAACGCGGUGUGGAGACGCUUUACGUAUCGCAAAUCGCUUGGCAAAACUAGGUCGGGAGUGGCUUUAUUGCAUACGCCACGCGGAUUCAUUGCCCACACUACGUAGCGUGUCGGUCGGUAGCCAGAGAACACGCGCCAAGACUUCGGUUCUACACAGGUCUCAUCCGUCAACUGUGAUCAGGUUUUCUGCUCACCAUGACCUUGAGGGGAGACAGAGAAACGGGUAGACAGAGAAAGAGAUAUUACCCCACCCUACGACCCCCCGUUUCCACUACCCAUCUACAGAACGUUGAUUUCGUUCGGUUACAGUCAUUUGUUUUUGGAAGGGGGUUACAAUAUCAUACGCAGUGUAGAUCAAACUAAGUGGGAAUAUACACAAAAAAUACAGAAUAAAGAUAUUUAUAAUCCAAAUGUUUCGUUUACAAUACGAAGACAAUAUAAACGCGCCUAUAAAUUCCGUAUCACUUUUUUUAUAUAUCGAAGUGUAACGCAUGGCAACAGGCAUGAAACUUCUAGGUUUGUAACAACGCGGUAAAAUUCGUAUUGGUAGAAAUUAUACACGGUAUAGCGGAAUGAUACCAAAAUCAAGAAAUAUAUUAAAUUAAAAUUGAUAACCACGUUUAUUUCCUACGAUCUUCGAUUAAUUCUAUUGCUUGUACUGUCUGCCCUUAAAAAUAUCUUUACAAGCACAUAUAUACUCUUUAAUUUAAUCAUUCAAAUAGCCGCCUUUCACGCUGAUGCAAUUUUACAGUCUGGGAUGGCCUGUGUAUCCUGGCUUUUACACAAUUCUGUACAUCACUGAACAAUUUACUUUAUAGCUAGACCUAUCACUAGUUGUGCAAAAUAUAUAAGGGAACAUACAUAAGAUAUUUGGCGUCAUAAGUUAUAAGUCAGUAAAUGUUUUUAAAAUGGUUAGUAGGAUCAAUUCCGCACGUAUUCAUGUUUGUAGCUGGUUCAAUCAUUUCAUCAGGCAGACGUGGUGGAAAAGUAUUUCUGCACGUAUCAAAGAAACUAGAUACGUUUGUUGUAAGAGCCCACAAGACACAAGUUAUCGGCCAGAAGACGCUUAUACACUAAACACAGUAACAGGACAAAAGAUAAACAAUACAAGACAAAUGGUACUAGUGCGUCAUCUACUUAUUUACGAACGAUGUUUUUCACUGUUCUGGUUACGUAACGUUGAACGGUAAAGUAUUUUACGAAUAAUAAGCACGAAGACGAAAGAAUCCAAAUUUUUAGUCUUAAAACCUGAAGGAAGGCAUCGGUGCCAGAAGAAUCUACAAGAAGCUAAGCAGCUCAGCUACCACGGAGAUAAGAUUAGUAGAUCACCUUCAUUUUGACAAACACAAAACAUUAACAUGAGAAGGUGAACGGGGCGGUUCACAUGAGUUGCAGUCUCCAUAGCUGGACAACGAACUGUAAAUUGUAUUAUUUAUUUACACGGUAGCCAUGACAACAACAACAAACACUCACAAACGUGUGGACAGACCAAUGUUGAAAUAAAUGAACGAUACAUUUUAUACAUGUUGAUGUAACAGAAAAUGUUUCCCAAUCAAACAGUUUCCAAGAAAUAAUAUGUUCACUUUGAACUAA